rnacentral:rRNA from 1 species
GGGUUGUGAGGUUAAGCGACUAAGCGUACACGGUGGAUGCCCUGGCAGUCAGAGGCGAUGAAGGACGUGCUAAUCUGCGAUAAGCGUCGGUGAGGUGAUAUGAACCGUUAUAACCGGCGAUUUCCGAAUGGGGAAAAGAAAUCAACCGAGAUUCCCCCAGUAGCGGCGAGCGAACGGGGAGGAGCCCAGAGCCUGAAUCAGUGUGUGUGUUAGUGGAAGCGUCUGGAAAGGCGCGCGAUACAGGGUGACAGCCCCGUACACAAAAAUGCACAUAUUGUGAGCUCGAUGAGUAGGGCGGGACACGUGGUAUCCUGUCUGAAUAUGGGGGGACCAUCCUCCAAGGCUAAAUACUCCUGACUGACCGAUAGUGAACCAGUACCGUGAGGGAAAGGCGAAAAGAACCCCGGCGAGGGGAGUGAAAAAGAACCUGAAACCGUGUACGUACAAGCAGUGGGAGCCUCUUAAUGGGGUGACUGCGUACCUUUUGUAUAAUGGGUCAGCGACUUAUAUUCUGUAGCAAGGUUAACCGAAUAGGGGAGCCGAAGGGAAACCGAGUCUUAACUGGGCGUUAAGUUGCAGGGUAUAGACCCGAAACCCGGUGAUCUAGCCAUGGGCAGGUUGAAGGUUGGGUAACACUAACUGGAGGACCGAACCGACUAAUGUUGAAAAAUUAGCGGAUGACUUGUGGCUGGGGGUGAAAGGCCAAUCAAACCGGGAGAUAGCUGGUUCUCCCCGAAAGCUAUUUAGGUAGCGCCUCGUGAAUUCAUCUCCGGGGGUAGAGCACUGUUUCGGCAAGGGGGUCAUCCCGACUUACCAACCCGAUGCAAACUGCGAAUACCGGAGAAUGUUAUCACGGGAGACACACGGCGGGUGCUAACGUCCGUCGUGAAGAGGGAAACAACCCAGACCGCCAGCUAAGGUCCCAAAGUCAUGGUUAAGUGGGAAACGAUGUGGGAAGGCCCAGACAGCCAGGAUGUUGGCUUAGAAGCAGCCAUCAUUUAAAGAAAGCGUAAUAGCUCACUGGUCGAGUCGGCCUGCGCGGAAGAUGUAACGGGGCUAAACCAUGCACCGAAGCUGCGGCAGCGACACUAUGUGUUGUUGGGUAGGGGAGCGUUCUGUAAGCCUGUGAAGGUGMKCUGUGAGGMWUGCUGGAGGUAUCAGAAGUGCGAAUGCUGACAUAAGUAACGAUAAAGCGGGUGAAAAGCCCGCUCGCCGGAAGACCAAGGGUUCCUGUCCAACGUUAAUCGGGGCAGGGUGAGUCGACCCCUAAGGCGAGGCCGAAAGGCGUAGUCGAUGGGAAACAGGUUAAUAUUCCUGUACUUGGUGUUACUGCGAAGGGGGGACGGAGAAGGCUAUGUUGGCCGGGCGACGGUUGUCCCGGUUUAAGCGUGUAGGCUGGUUUUCCAGGCAAAUCCGGAAAAUCAAGGCUGAGGCGUGAUGACGAGGCACUACGGUGCUGAAGCGACAAAUGCCCUGCUUCCAGGAAAAGCCUCUAAGCAUCAGGUAACAUCAAAUCGUACCCCAAACCGACACAGGUGGUCAGGUAGAGAAUACCAAGGCGCUUGAGAGAACUCGGGUGAAGGAACUAGGCAAAAUGGUGCCGUAACUUCGGGAGAAGGCACGCUGAUAUGUAGGUGAAGCGACUUGCUCGUGGAGCUGAAAUCAGUCGAAGAUACCAGCUGGCUGCAACUGUUUAUUAAAAACACAGCACUGUGCAAACACGAAAGUGGACGUAUACGGUGUGACGCCUGCCCGGUGCCGGAAGGUUAAUUGAUGGGGUUAGCGGUAACGCGAAGCUCUUGAUCGAAGCCCCGGUAAACGGCGGCCGUAACUAUAACGGUCCUAAGGUAGCGAAAUUCCUUGUCGGGUAAGUUCCGACCUGCACGAAUGGCGUAAUGAUGGCCAGGCUGUCUCCACCCGAGACUCAGUGAAAUUGAACUCGCUGUGAAGAUGCAGUGUACCCGCGGCAAGACGGAAAGACCCCGUGAACCUUUACUAUAGCUUGACACUGAACAUUGAGCCUUGAUGUGUAGGAUAGGUGGGAGGCUUUGAAGUGUGGACGCCAGUCUGCAUGGAGCCGACCUUGAAAUACCACCCUUUAAUGUUUGAUGUUCUAACGUGGGCCCCUUACCGGGGUUGCGGACAGUGUCUGGUGGGUAGUUUGACUGGGGCGGUCUCCUCCUAAAGAGUAACGGAGGAGCACGAAGGUUGGCUAAUCCUGGUCGGACAUCAGGAGGUUAGUGCAAUGGCAUAAGCCAGCUUGACUGCGAGCGUGACGGCGCGAGCAGGUGCGAAAGCAGGUCAUAGUGAUCCGGUGGUUCUGAAUGGAAGGGCCAUCGCUCAACGGAUAAAAGGUACUCCGGGGAUAACAGGCUGAUACCGCCCAAGAGUUCAUAUCGACGGCGGUGUUUGGCACCUCGAUGUCGGCUCAUCACAUCCUGGGGCUGAAGUAGGUCCCAAGGGUAUGGCUGUUCGCCAUUUAAAGUGGUACGCGAGCUGGGUUUAGAACGUCGUGAGACAGUUCGGUCCCUAUCUGCCGUGGGCGCUGGAGAACUGAGGGGGGCUGCUCCUAGUACGAGAGGACCGGAGUGGACGCAUCACUGGUGUUCGGGUUGUCAUGCCAAUGGCACUGCCCGGUAGCUAAAUGCGGAAGAGAUAAGUGCUGAAAGCAUCUAAGCACGAAACUUGCCCCGAGAUGAGUUCUCCCUGACUCCUUGAGAGUCCUGAAGGAACGUUGAAGACGACGACGUUGAUAGGCCGGGUGUGUAAGCGCAGCGAUGCGUUGAGCUAACCGGUACUAAUGAACCGUGAGGCUUAACCUUACAACGCCGAAG